rnacentral:rRNA from 1 species
AGUGAACGCUGGCGGUAGGCCUAACACAUGCAAGCCGAACGGCAGCACAGUAAGAGCUUGCUCUUACGGGUGGCGAGUGGCGGACGGGUGAGGAAUACAUCGGAAUCUACUUUUUCGUGGGGGAUAACAUAGGGAAACUUACGCUAAUACCGCAUACGACCUACGGGUGAAAGCAGGGGAUCUUCGGACCUUGCGCGAUUGAAUGAGCCGAUGUCGGAUUAGCUAGUUGGCGGGGUAAAGGCCCACCAAGGCGACGAUCCGUAGCUGGUCUGAGAGGAUGAUCAGCCACACUGGAACUGAGACACGGUCCAGACUCCUACGGGAGGCAGCAGUGGGGAAUAUUGGACAAUGGGCGCAAGCCUGAUCCAGCCAUACCGCGUGGGUGAAGAAGGCCUUCGGGUUGUAAAGCCCUUUUGUUGGGAAAGAAAAGCAGCAGGUUAAUACCCCGCUGUUCUGACGGUACCCAAAGAAUAAGCACCGGCUAACUUCGUG